CAGAGCGCGGCGGGCAGCCGGCUCUGGCAUCCCGCUGGUGCGCGCUCUGCUCGAGUGGUGCUUUCAGCACCAAGCACCAAUACAUCACUGUUAAAAGCCCGUGUGCACGCAGGAUUAGUAAGAGCAGCUGUAACCUGAAAACCAAAAGCGAAAUUGAUUUAUAGCCAUGGUUACUCAAAAUGCUCAGACUUUAAUCUAUUCAUAGGGAUGCUCUGAAAGUCCCGCAGGAUUCGGAUGCAGUGAGAAGGAGAUAUCCUGCUGGGCGGGCAGUGUUUGUACACCUUGCUUGCACAGCAACAGUUCUCCCAUGCGGCUAAAAGCUGUGGGUGGCAGCACGGUGGUAAAAAGAUAACAAUAUUUAACAGCUUUCUUCAAUUAGCAUCAUCCCUGUGCUUUUGACUGUUAAACUCCUUGUUUUGCUUCACCUUCCAGGCCCGGAUAACCCUGUGGUUAACACCUUAUGAGCUAAAUGACAGAUGCCAGCACAAAGCAUUACUCCACUGAAAAUAUUUGUCGAAAAGUGAGCCGGCAGCUUUAGGGAGCUUUGGUGAAUGUGCAAAACGUUUUGCUAUUGUCCAGGCUCGAUAAUGGGAGAGGACAUUGAGGAGUUCUGCAGGAGACAGCAGUGUGAGAAGAGGUAGAUCCCCAUGGAGCACAAACAGAGGGCCUCAAAUUGCCACCACAGCAGCAGAGGUGCAGCAGGUGGGGAAGAUGAAGGUCACAAACAUAGCUUGGAAUGAACACAACUGAGCUACAGGUAGAAGGGGCUCCGUGUUCUGCAGUGUGUUUCAUCCUUUUUUUUCACUUGAUAAAGCAAAUUUCCCAGAAAGCGCGAGGAAGUCUGAUAGUAGGCUCUAACAAAUCCACGUCCCUUAAGGUUGUUUUGGUUUUGUUUGUUUGUUUUUUCAAUGGAAAGGAAGUAAUUACUAUGCUUUUUCAGCUAGGCACAUUACACCGUGCAACAAUCAGUCCCUGUGUGUGUGUUGAAGGUUAAGAACUCUUACAGAGCUGUGCGGCCACGCUGCAGGGUCCUGUGGGCA
rnacentral:lncRNA from 1 species